AAAACCAUUAAGUCAGAGUAAUCAUCUAGACCUUAAAAGACCAAAGUUGAGAAUAAACCUGAUGGAAGUUGGGACUCAAAAAGGACAGAUGUAUGACGGGAUGGGAGGAAAUACGAAACCUGACGUUUUCCCGGAACCGCUUCCAAGACAUAUUAAGAAAUCUGUUAAGAAAA